AUGGCUAAUGCUUUAAGUCGUAAAUCCUAUUGCAACAACCUCAUGUUGCAACAAUGUCAACCACCCCUCCAUGAGGAAUUCUGUAAGCUUAACCUUCACAUAGCUCCUCGUGGUUCCCUUUCUACCUUGGUGGCGAAACCUACCCUUACGGAUCAGAUCAUAGAGGCUCAGAAGCAUGAUACGGGAAUCUCCCGGAUCAAGAAGAAUAUUUCCAAGGGAGUUGCUGGCUGUUUCUCUAUGGAUGAACGAGGUGUUGUUUACUUUGGAAACCGUUUGGUGGUUCCCAAAUGUCAACAGAUGCAGCAACUGAUCCUUAAGGAGGCCCAUGAAUCCCCUCUCACGAUUCAUCCCGGUAGUACAAAGAUGUAUCAGGACCUACGCCAGAGGUUCUGGUGGACUAGGAUGAAGAGAGAAAUCGCUCAAUAUAUUGCCAACUGUGACGUUUGUCGUCGCGUUAAGGCAGAGCAUCAGAGACCUGCUAGCACCCUUCAACCUUUAGCUAUUCCCGAGUGGAAAUGGGACAAAGUUGGUAUGGACUUCAUCACCGGCUUUCCCAGGACCAAGAAAGGAAAUAAUGCUAUCUUCGUAGUCAUUGAUCGUCUCUCCAAAGUGGCUCACUUCCUACCUGUUCGAGAGAGUAUCACUGCUAGUCAGCUCGCUGACUUAUAUAUCUCCCGAAUAGUGUCACUCCAUGGUGUUCCACUAGAGAUCAAUUCAGACCGUGGCGGUCUUUUCACCUCUCAUUUCUGGGAAAGUUUCCAAACUGCCAUGGGCACCCAUCUUUCCUUCAGUACCGCUUUCCACCCUCAAUCAAGUGGUCAGGUGGAAAGGGUCAACCAAAUUCUUGAAGACAUGCUUAGAGCUUGUGUUAUCUCAUUUGGUAUGGAUUGGGAGAAAUGUCUUCCCUUUGCCGAGUUUGCUUAUAACAAUAGCUACCAAUCCAGUCUUAAGAAAGCACCCUUCGAGAUUCUGUAUGGACGAAGAUGUCGAACACCUUUGAACUGGUCAGAAACCGGUGAAAGACAAUUCUUUGGACCGGAUAUGAUCCAGGAGGCAGAAGAGCAAGUUCGCAUCAUUCGUGAGAAUUUGAAAAUAGCCCAAUCUCGUCAAAAGAGCCAGUAUGACCGCCGUCAUAAGGAAGUGGCUUAUGAAGUUGGCGACAAGGCUUACCUUCGGGUUACUCCUUUGAAGGGUACCCAUCGUUUCGGUAUCAAGGGCAAGUUGGCUCCUUGUUACAUCGGUCCUUUUCACAUUCUCGCUAAACGAGGAGAGGUUGCUUACUAG
rnacentral:rRNA from 1 species